rnacentral:tRNA from 1 species
GGUGAGGUGUCCGAGUGGUUAAAGGAGGCAGACUGUAAAUCUGCUCGCGUAAGCGUACGCAGGUUCGAAUCCUGCCCUCACCA